rnacentral:tRNA from 1 species
GGGGUUGUGGCUCAGAGGUAGAGCGCUCACCUGCCAUGUGCGAGGCCCUGGGUUCGAUCCUCAGCACCCCA